CAUUGAAACACCGGUUCCUGUACGAUCACCAAAGUUAAGCAACAUUGAGCCUAGUCAGUACCUAGAUGGGUGACCACUUGAGAAUACCAGGUGCUGUAAG
rnacentral:rRNA from 1 species